UACGAGGGGGGCGAGCGUUGUUCGGAAUUAUUGGGCGUAAAGGGUGCGUAGGCGGUUCCGCAAGUCCUGUGUGAAAUCUUCGGGCUCAACUCGAAGUCUGCACGGGAAACUGCGGGGCUUGAGUGUGGGAGAGGUGAGGUGGAAUUCCCGGUGUAGCGGUGAAAUGCGUAGAUAUCGGGGAGACACCGUGUGGCGAAAGCGGCUCACUGGACCAUAACUGACGCUGAUGCGAACGGGAAAGCUGGGGGGAGCAAACAG
rnacentral:rRNA from 1 species